rnacentral:rRNA from 1 species
AGGACGAACGCUGGCGGUGUGCUUCACACAUGCAAGUCGAACGGGGGUAGCAAUACUCUAGUGGCGGACGGGUGAGUAACGCGUGGGAAUCUGCCCUAGGGUGGGGGAUAGCAGACCGAAAGGUCUAUUAAUACCGCAUAUGCCGAGAGGUAAAAGGAGUAAUCCGCCCAAGGAUGAGCCUGCGUCCGAUUAGCUUGUUGGUGGGGUAAUGGCCUACCAAGGCUGCGAUCGGUAGCUGGUCUGAGAGGACGAUCAGCCACAAUGGGACUGAGACACGGCCCAUACUCCUACGGGAGGCAGCAGUGGGAAUUUUACGCAAUGGGGGAAACCCUGACGUAGCGACACCGCGUGAGCGAAGAAGCCCUUUGGGGUGUAAAGCUCUGUCGGCAGAGACGAAAAUAAAUAUGACGGUACCUGCAGAGGAAGCAUCGGCUAACUACGUGCCAGCAGCCGC